rnacentral:rRNA from 1 species
UGAGUACGAGACGCUAAGGCGUUGAAGUAGUGGAUGUCAUACUUCCAAGAAAAGCUUGCACUGUCAUAAGUAAAAAAUGCCUGUACCAUAACCGACACAGGUGGGUAGGUAGAGUAUACUAAGGGGCGCGAGAUAACUCUCUCUAAGGAACUCGGCAAAAUGACUCCGUAACUUCGGGAGAAGGAGUGCCUUAUUCGUAAGGCUGCAAUAACAAGAUCCAAGCAACUGUUUAUCAAAAACACAGGUCUCCGCUAAGUCGUAAGACGAUGUAUGGGGGCUGACGCCUGCCCAGUGCCAGAAGGUUAAAGAAGUCGGUUAGCAUUAGCGAAGCUGGUAACUGAAGCCCUGGUGAACGGCGGCCGUAACUAUAACGGUCCUAAGGUAGCGAAAUUCCUUGUCGGGUAAGUUCCGACCCGCACGAAAGGCGUAAUGAUUUGGAUACUGUCUCGGAGAGGGGCUCGGUGAAAUAGACUUGUCUGUGAAGAUGCGGACUACCUGCACCAGGACAGAAAGACCCUAUGAAGCUUUACUGUAACUUGAAAUUGAAUUGGACUUUAUUCGCGCAGUAUAGGUGGGAGGCGUUGAUUAUAAUCUUGCGGGAUUAUUGGAGCCAUCAGUGAGAUACCACUCUUGUAAUGUUAGAUUUCUAACUUUGAAUCAUUAUCUGGUCAAAGAACAGUUUCAGGCGGGCAGUUUGACUGGGGCGGUCGCCUCCUAAACGGUAACGGAGGCGUACAAAGGUUUCCUCUGAACGGGUAGAAAUCGUAUCUAGAGUGUAAAGGCAUAAGGAAGCUUGACUGUGAGACCUACAAGUCGAGCAGGGACGAAAGUCGGUCUUAGUGAUCUGACGGUACUGAGUGGAAGGGCCGUCACUCAACGGAUAAAAGUUACUCUAGGAUAACAGGCUGAUCUCCCCCAAGAGUUCACAUCGACGGGGAGGUUUGGCACCUCGAUGUCGGCUCAUCGCAUCCUGGGGCGGUAGUACGUCCCAAGGGUUGGGCUGUUCGCCCAUGAAAGCGGUACGCGAGCUGGGUUCAGAACGUCGUGAGACAGUUCGGUCCAUAUCCGGUGUAGGCGUUAGAAUAUUGAGAGGAGCCUUCUUUAGUACGAGAGGACCGAGAAGGACAUACCUCUGGUGUACCAGUUAUCGUGCCAACGGUAAACGCUGGGUAGCUAUGUAUGGAGUGGAUAACCGCUGAAAGCAUCUAAGUGGGAAGCCCACCUCAAGAUAAG